GUGAAUUUGUAGCCUCCAAGGCUCACAUUCUCUAUCCUUUACACACCUGUGCACCUCCUGUAGUCUCUCAGACGAUUUUCUCAGUCUUCGGAUUGGAUGGGACUCGCUGCUUUUUCCCAAAGGGAAAGGCUUCAGUCCAAUGUCUGAGGGGUCUAUGUCUACACAUACACUGUAUAAAACUACCAGAAUGUAUCACGGUCUUUUACAGACCUUAAAACUAAAAUA
rnacentral:misc_RNA from 1 species